rnacentral:rRNA from 1 species
UACGAAGGGUGCAAGCGUUACUCGGAAUUACUGGGCGUAAAGCGUGCGUAGGCGGUUUGUUAAGUCUGCUGUGAAAGCCCUGGGCUCAACCUGGGAAUGGCAUUGGAUACUGGCAACCUAGAAUGUGGUAGAGGGUGGCGGAAUUCCCGGUGUAGCAGUGAAAUGCGUAGAUAUCGGGAGGAACAUCCGUGGCGAAGGCGGCCACCUGGACCAACAUUGACGCUGAGGCACGAAAGCGUGGGGAGCAAACAGG